rnacentral:lncRNA from 1 species
AGCCAUCCGCGACAGGUCGGGAGGCGAGGCGGGGCGGGGCUGGGCCGGCUGUCCGCACAAAGAGAGCCAGCGAGCUAGCCCGCGGACCAGGUACCCCGGGCCGCUGGGGGCCGGGCGGGGCGGGGCGAGGCAGGGAACACUUACCCAGCAGUAGCACGUUCUUCCCCGCAGGGAGCUUGGAGCGCGAGCGGGUGGAGACCUCGCUGAGGAUGCAGGACCUAACGGGAAGCAAGGCGUACGGUGAGGCCGGAGGCCGGAGCCGCAGCGCGGGAGGGACGGACCCGGCCUCGGCGCGCCGGGGAUGGGGCUGCCGGGAACGCAGUGGCCGGGCCCGGCGCCGAGCUCCAGCGGGCACGGGAUCCCGAGGCGUCCGCGCAAGGCCGGGGGAGCCAGCGGGGGCUGAGGGAGAGGUGGAGUCGUUACCAAAGGUUCUGCCCGUCCUCGUCGUCGCCUGCCGCGGCGCCACCGUUGCCCGACGCUAUCUCGUUGCCCAAGGGGCCGCCAGUGUAAGUCGAGGAUAAUCCCGGCGGAGAAGAACCGAAGGAGCCGACUCGCCCCACGGCCGCCAUCUUGGUCGGGAAUCACACCACUCCCGGCAAGACUAAAUGUGCGAGGCGGCUGAGGCGGUGGCGGUGGAGGCGGCGGGAACCCGGAUAUGGGGCGUUCAGCGCACGGGAGCGGGGCGGGGCCUGCGGGGGCGGGGCCCCGGGCCGGGCCAGGACUGAUGGAGCGAGCGAGAACGGACUGCGCGUGCGUGGCUGCCUGGCCGGCGCUGAGGGGCUGAGCGUACGCGGGCGGCGGGGUGGGCCGCUAUGCUGCAACUGAAGCCCAGUGAUCUGACAGUAUGGAAGUGCUUUCCUUCCGCUCAUCCGCGGCCCUGGGCUGCGGCAGGGGGGUUGGGUGUGUCAGGUGAAAAGUGCUCCCUCCCACCCUUCAGACAGGUCCCCAAACCCUGCGGCCUGCGCGGAAUUCCUGCAUUGUCAUUGCCGGCCCACCCACUGUUCAGGCUGAGAGCGGUCCCCCGCCCAAACCGGCGCUUCGCCGGCGCCAAGAUAGAAAUGGGUCGCCCGGCUGGUAAAGAGGCUGCCCUGCAACCCUGGGCUGGAGUAUUGCUGUGGUCCUGGAUUUCUGGACUUUAUUUGCGUUCUCAAGUGGCGAAGUGUUCCUCAACCUGGACCCACAUCAGAAGCAGGUUCUCCGAGCCCCUAAGCAGCGGCGUGACAAAGGAUUUUUAUCAAGUGGACCCUCACAGAACAUCAUAUCUUAGUGAGAGGUGACAGCGUGCUGGCAGCUCUCGCUCGCUCUCGGCACCUCCUCUGCCUGGACUCCCACUUUGGUGGCACUUGAGGAGCCCUUCAGCCCACCGCUGCACUGUAGGAGCCCCCUUCUGGGCUGGCCAAGGCCGGAGCUGGCUCCCUCAGCUUGCAGGGAGGUAUGGAGGGAGAGGCGCGAGCGGGAACCGGGGCUGCGCGCAGCGCUUGCAGGCCAGCUGGAGUUCCGGGUGGGCGUGGGCUUGGCGGGCCCCGCACUCGGAGCAGCCGGCCGGCCCUGCUGGCCGGGCAAUGAGGGGCUUAGCACCUGGGCCAGCGGCUGCGGAGGGUGUGCUGGGUCCCCCAGCAGUGCCGGCCCACCGGCGCUGUGCUUGAUUUCUCGCCGGUCCUUAGCUGCCUUCUCUCAGGGCAGGCCUCGGGACCUGCCGCCCACCAUGCCUGAGCCUCCCCGACGAGCGCUGCCCCCUGCUCCCCGACGCCCAGUCCCAUCGACCACCCAAGGGCUGAGGAGUGAAGGCGCAGGCGCAGGACUGGCAGGCAGCUCCACCUGCGGCCCCAGUGGGGGAUCCACUGGGUGAAGCCAGCUGGGCUCCUGAGUCUGGUGGGGAUUUGGAGAACAUUUAUGUCUAGCUAAGGGAUUGUAAAUACACCAAUUGGCACUCUGUAUCUAGCUCAAAGUUUGUAAACACACCAAUCAGCACCCUGUGUCUAGCUCAGGGUUUGUGAAUGCACCAAUGGACACUCUGUAUCUAGCUAAUCUAGUGGGGGGCCUGGAGAACUUUUGUAUCUAGCUCGGGGAUUGUAAAUGCACCAAUCAGCAGCCUGUCAAAACAGACCAAUCAGCUCUCUGUAAAACAGACCAAUCAGCUCUCUGUAAAAUGGACCAAUCAGCAGGAUGUGGGUGGGGCCAGAUAAGAGAAUAAAAGCAGGCUGCCCAAGCCUGUAGUGGUAACCCACUCGGGUUUGAUUGCCUACUGGGGAAGGUUUGUUUUUUCCUUCUUUGCAAUAAAUGUUGUUGUUGCUCACUUUUUGGGUGCGUGCUGUGUUUAUGAACUGUAACACUUACUGCGGAGGUUUACAGCUUCCUUUCUGAAGUCAGUGAGACCGUGAACCCAGCAGAAGGAGGAAACUGUCUCAGCAUCCGAAUGUCACAACGAGCAAAUCCACGUGCGGCGCCUUUAUGAGCUGUAACACUCACUGUGAGGGUCCACGGCUUCUUUAAGUCAGUGAGACGAAGAACCUGUCAAUUCCAGACACAUCAGCACAGAGAGAUGGAGAAAUACCUAAAAGAAAGUAGAAAUAGACUCUUUUAACGUGUUUGUUUUUUCAGAGAAACCGCCAGAAAGUGCCCGGGGCAGUGGCUGUCGCCUGUAAUUCCAGCACUUUGGGAAGCAGGAAAGGGCAGAUCACUUGUGGCCAGGAGUUCAAGGACAACUUAGCCAACACUGUGAAACCCCAUUUCUACCAACAAUACAAAAAUUAGCCAGACAUACUGGGGCAUGCCUGUAAUCUCAGCUACUCAGGAAGCUGAGGCAGGAGAAUCGCUUGAGCCUGGCAGGUGGAGGCUGCAGUGAGUCAAGAUCAAACCAGUGCACUCCAGCCUGGGCAACAAAGCGAGACUGCACC